GAAUGAUUUGCCAGAGAUGCAGAAACUUCUUUGUGAGCUGGGAUUGAAGGAAAGAGAUUCUACACAUAUUCAGAUGUGCCAGCUGUCACUGCUGGAGUUGUCAACUAGUGAGCCAGAAGAUUCACUCCAUUGUACAACCUCAGCACCGUGAAGGCAGAGCAAAGAAUCAGAAGUUGUCUGGCGACAAAGGUGUUACUCAAAGAAAGCUGACAGCAACAACUCACGGAAGGAUCGAUGGCGGAUUACGAGGCUCAUGGAGCUGCAUAGAGAGGAG